GGCCUUAUAGUCUAAGGUUAAGAUAUUAGACUGCAAUUCUAAAGAUGUGGAAACACUAAGGCUU
rnacentral:tRNA from 1 species